ACCCGAGGAACGGAAGGUCCGCGACUCUCGGAGUACGUGAGAGAAAGCAUCGGAAUCCAGUUAACGUGCGUAUAAGAUUUUGAUGGCGGUGUAUGAGGGCGGAAAGGUGGUCAAUGACUACCUUGGGGAUUAGCCACCCCUAAACCUCCGGAGGGUUAGCUACACCGGUCGGAUGGUGCGCAAUCGCAAUGGUGACACGGUUCCGUGUGUGUAGCUAGUGUGUUAAGUUUGGCGCUCUGUGACUGGUAAGGUCAGAUGUUGGUUCUACGGAACCAGGCCAUCAGUAUGAAUGCAGGUACUGUGCACUGGUGACGGGACAAUAGCGGAUGGAGCUGGGUGUGCA